CAGGGUGACAGCCCCGUACACAAAAAUGCACAUAUUGUGAGCUCGAUGAGUAGGGCGGGACACGUGGUAUCCUGUCUGAAUAUGGGGGGACCAUCCUCCAAGGCUAAAUACUCCUGACUGACCGAUAGUGAACCAGUACCGUGAGGGAAAGGCGAAAAGAACCCCGGCGAGGGGAGUGAAAAAGAACCUGAAACCGUGUACGUACAAGCAGUGGGAGCCUCUUAAUGGGGUGACUGCGUACCUUUUGUAUAAUGGGUCAGCGACUUAUAUUCUGUAGCAAGGUUAACCGAAUAGGGGAGCCGAAGGGAAACCGAGUCUUAACUGGGCGUUAAGUUGCAGGGUAUAGACCCGAAACCCGGUGAUCUAGCCAUGGGCAGGUUGAAGGUUGGGUAACACUAACUGGAGGACCGAACCGACUAAUGUUGAAAAAUUAGCGGAUGACUUGUGGCUGGGGGUGAAAGGCCAAUCAAACCGGGAGAUAGCUGGUUCUCCCCGAAAGCUAUUUAGGUAGCGCCUCGUGAAUUCAUCUCCGGGGGUAGAGCACUGUUUCGGCAAGGGGGUCAUCCCGACUUACCAACCCGAUGCAAACUGCGAAUACCGGAGAAUGUUAUCACGGGAGACACACGGCGGGUGCUAACGUCCGUCGUGAAGAGGGAAACAACCCAGACCGCCAGCUAAGGUCCCAAAGUCAUGGUUAAGUGGGAAACGAUGUGGGAAGGCCCAGACAGCCAGGAUGUUGGCUUAGAAGCAGCCAUCAUUUAAAGAAAGCGUAAUAGCUCACUGGUCGAGUCGGCCUGCGCGGAAGAUGUAACGGGGCUAAACCAUGCACCGAAGCUGCGGCAGCGACACUAUGUGUUGUUGGGUAGGGGAGC
rnacentral:rRNA from 1 species